AAAUUUCAGCUUGGUCGGAUAGAUGGGAGAUGCCCUUUAACGUAGACAAGUGCCAGGUCCUUCAAGUUGGAACGAGGAAUAAAAAGUUUGAUUACGAAAUGCGCGGCGUUAAACUCAAAAGCGUUCAAUGCGUCAAGGACUUGGGGGUCAAAAUCGCGUCAAACCUCAAAUUCUCACAGCAAUGCAUCGAUGCAGCAAAUAAAGCGAACAGAAUGUUGGGCUUCAUUAAAAGAAACUUUUAUUUAAGAAUAAAGAUGUAAUACUCCCGCUCUACAACAGUUUAGUCAGACCCCACUUGGAAUAUGCGGUACAGUUUUGGUCUCCCCACCAUGCAAAGGAUAUUGCUAAAUUAGAAGGUGUUCAGCGUCGGGCAACGAAAAUGAUCCCUUCCUUGCGCAACAAAUCCUACGAAGAAAGGCUUUCUACCCUUAACAUGUUCUCUCUUGAGAAACGUCGCCUCCGAGGAAAACUGAUCGAAUGUUUUAAAAUACUUAAUGGUUUCACGAAUGUAGACAGAUCAACAUUGUUUAUGAUCGAUGACACUUUGCGCACGAGGAACAAUGGCGUAAAACUCAGAUGUAGACAAGUAAAUUCAGACUGCACCAAAUUUUUCUUCACCAACGUUGUAGUGCGAGAAUGGAAUAAGCUCCCAUCAUCAGUAGUCCAGUGUAACACGAUUGACUCCUUCAAAAAUAAGCUCGACCGUCACUUCCUUCAACUUAAUAUCAACUAGAGUAGAAAUGCAACGUUUUGGAGUCUUCUGAUUAAUGUAAAAUCACUUAGGUUUAAGGACAGACCACCAAGUCUGGACCAUGGGGUCUGUGUGGUCUGAUUUUCUAUGUAAAUCUAUCUAUGUAAAUCUCUCUCUCUCUCUCUCUCUCUCUCUCUCUCUCUCUCUCUCUCUCUCUCUCUCUCUCUCUCUCUCUCUCUCUCUCUCUCUCUCUCUCUCUCUCUCUCUCUCUCUCUCUCUCAUGACCUUGAAAUUAUUUGUUUGAAUGGAAUAUUUGUUAAUAGUCUUUACUGGUUCAUCAUAAAUUCAUUAUUCCGGUAUUUUUAAAAGUUUUUUUCCUGUCUUGUGGGUGAGAAAAAUAGUGCUGUGAAUUCCAAUUAUGAUUACGUUGUCCUGCAUUGUUAUUUGUUCUUUCAUAACAUGUUCAUUCUACCUCCUUCAAAGGUCUGGUCUCAGUUCACUGAUUUGCCCACAAAUAUCAGGAAGUCAGCACUUUCACUAUAGCUUCAGCAAAAUUGCUUGCUUCUCAGAUAAUCUGCUUCAGCACUGAUGUAGCUGGUGGCAGACAGUAGAGAUAUUUUCAAGGCUUUCAGCACAACAGGUUUGGAAAAGUGUUGUGUCAUGGUAUUACAGGGUGCACUUCAGGUUAUCUGGUGUAUCCAACUCAGGUGUUGAUACAACACUGUUUUCAUACAAAUGUCAGUUGUACAUAAACAAGAGAACUUUGUGCCAGUGGUAAACACAUUGUUUGCAUGGCGUGUAUAAGGCCUUUGGGACAUGAGGAAGGCAGCUUUAGGCGGUCCGCAGCAGACACGUCCGUACACAGAUGGAAGGCAAGCGUAUCCGUUCACUAGUUAGGGUUCUACAACUGCCUCUGAGAGUAAUGCAGUGAUAAGGUCAUGAAAGUUAAUGUCAGCAUUUUUAUUUUUGCUAAAAUUUGCAUUUCACGUUUUCUGAAACGUUAAUAUUGUUAAAUAUAUAUAAAAAACGAAACAAAUAAAAUGACUUCAAUCUUCUGUUAGCAGUUUUUCUUAUAGAAUAUGUUCCUCAUUUUACAAACUGUUUGACGUAGUUGGUUAAGGCCACAUUUGGACAAAAAAUAUUAAUAGGCGGCGUAGAUUCCCUUGCCAUUGAUCGUAUGUAGUGUUAAAGGUCAAUAGUUGCUACACUUGGUAAUGCGCAAUUCCCUGAAAUUGAUCCACACGUCGGGUUGGCCACGCCCUCAGCACACACCUGGAUGCAAACCUUUGAGGACUUUGGUCUCAGCCAUGGUGGCCAAAACUCGCCACGCCUCCCGGCCUUCCAGCCUCAAGUACCUCGUCUGGGCCCUUCAGUGUCUAGGACUUCAUUGUUUGAAGAGGCCAACCACCGCCGCCGCCGCUGUUGACGCUGUGGAGAUAAGUGUCCCCCUCCUGCUGUGGGCCAUAUUUGUGAGAACAUUCCAAAUCAUUCAAAUUGUAACCGAUGCUACUCGAAGCCAUUUAUCUUACACAGGCGACGUGGGUGCCCUGGCGGAGGAGCUUACCGGUGUUCUCACAACAGCUGUAGCGAUGCUGGGACAGUCUAUGCUCUUAAUCAAGGGUCCGGUUUUGAACCAAAUUCUAUCAGAAUGUGAAGAAGAGCCUUCUCCUAGUAAGACAAAACAAGUCGGCUUUUCAGCUACAAUAUUUUCGACAGAGAGAAUCAUGACUCUGCUUUUUUACUGUUCUUCUGUUGUGGGUGUUUGUCUAAACUUUUCUUUUCUACCGUUUAUUCCUGGCUAUUUCAAAUUUGAGAUGACAAUAUACAUGGUCCAUACUACUGCCGUUCUAUUUGGAAUUAUGGUGACUGCCGCGCUUUUUCGCGAAGUGCUGAGCAUCGCUUCACGGAAGCUAGACGCUGACCUGGACGAGCGUGUCCUCCAGGGCGGCGCCGAGGGACUCACCCAGAGGCUCCACGUGCUGGAGAGGACGAUUCGGAAAGUGGAGUUGUUACGAAGAAUGACUGUUGAUUACCUUAUGUUUGCUGUCUCCACGCUGAUGUGUAGCUCCACGUUCUGGAUCAUUGUCAACCUGUACUGCGCCAUUCGCUCCCUGACCGGUGAAUAUGUGGGGAUAGUAAGUCCUUUUAGGAGGAUUAUGUACUUUUUGAUCAACAGCACCACCCUCUUCCAUUUGUGCUACAGCACCCAUCAUUUCUCCCAGCAGGUGCAGCGCGUGUCCAGCCAGCUGAGGGACCUGAGGGUGGUGGCGCCCGGGGAGGAGAACAAGGCACAGCUGCAGUACCUCAUCUGGACCCUGGAGAGCAUGGAGACCUUUGACAUGGGCUCGUGGUAUCACCUCAACCCCAACACCCUCGUUUCGGUGACGACCUUCGUGUUGACCUACCUGGUGGUGCUGCUGCAGGUGGGGAGCUACAAGACCCAGGGGGAAUCCUCUGCAUGGGCGAACAUUACAACCUACUAGAAAGCUUAUGAAUCAAUCUGGAGUGGAUGCACGAUGGUUUUGUCACCGCUGGGGUUCGUAAUGGACUCGCAAAUCGCAAUCGCCGGCCGUGGCCUCGCUCUUAUAGCUUUGUUUGUUUCUUUGUUUUCUAUAAACUUCUAUAUCCGAUGUUUCACCGUCCUCAUGUUAUAGCGUAAGAUAGGGUGAGCAUUGAACAUGUUACAACAGCGGGAGGACUUUUUUUUGUCCAUUUACGUUCGGCCUGUGGCGUCGGUAGGGUUUCGCAAUGUGAUCCUCAGGGCCGCUUUCACAGUCAUCUGGUACGCACCCUAACCAAAGGCCCUACCAUCCUGGUAGCAGCCGUUACCAUCGCCUCGAUCCGCUUACACAGUCGCUGUUUUCGUGGUAUCGGCGACUACCAGCGUGGUGACGAUCAUGACAACUUGACAAGACGAAGGCGCGUGAUUCGGCAGUGUUGGUAUGCCGGAGCGGCGGGAAAAGUCAACGUUACAUCAGCUGAGCGGAGGAUUACGAAGGAGUAAUGUGAAAAAUAAACGUACAAAAAGUAAACGUGAAGAAUAUAUAUAAAGAGUAACUGUGAAGAAUAAAUAUGAUGAAAAAAUGAGGAGUGUCUCGCUGAUACACCCCUCAAAUCUGCUGCUAGCCUAAUAUUUCCUAGGCGGAAAAGGUGAAAUAAUGGUGAGAAGUAUUGAUUAAAGUUCUCUUAUAUUAGCAGAUGUCAGCAAGACACUCUUCACCAAUAUCAAUUAUAUUUAUUCAUUAUUCACACUUAUUUAUCAGACUUCACAUUUAUUCUUUACUUAAUAGGACUGAUUUCGUUAUAUAUAUGUUCUAUGCUUACAUAUUAGGCUAACUAGAAUAAUACGAGUUUGACUAAGAAGGCAUAACAGAUGAAUAAUGGUGACAAGUAUUAAAGUCCUCCAUUCUUCUUUGGUGUGUACUUUUGCAACAAUAAACCAUCAAUCAAUCAAAUUGAAAUUCUCAGCAGGACGUUUACUGGUCAGCAGGUGAAGUGAGUUCAUGUCAUUCAAAUUCUUCUAAAUUUUUUCUCAUAUUACCAUUGAAGCCGUGCAACGUGUAGCUGUAUUGUUUAAUAUUUUUUCACAUCUAUUUAGAGAAAUAAUAUAACCACUUGAGAGCAAGAAUUUGUGUUAUUUACUAAUUAAUGUCAUUGGUAAGCUCCACUGGGGAGCCUCCGCGGCUACCAGAGCUCCGUUACCAGAGGUUCCAAUCUCUGAUACUGAAGCAAACAAACAGCGCCGCGAAAGACGACUGUGAAAGCGAAUUUCUUGGGAGCGGCGAUCGCCGCUCAUUGGUAACGAUCAACACAAACAAACGUGACUGUGAAAGCGGCCCUUAGUGGCGCAGGGAACUGUUUUAUAACGGUGCCAUCUUGUUUGACUCAAGCUGCCCCCUGAGCUCAUCUUGAUCCCCUUAGAGAGCUUCGCCUGUCCGGAUUGAUACUGUCAUCGGAGAGGGCGCUUUCCGCCACCACCACCACCAUCACCACCGCCAGCGCCACCGUCAGCACUCCGCCACG